AGAGUUUGAUCCUGGCUCAGAUUGAACGCUGGCGGCAGGCUUAACACAUGCAAGUCGAGCGGUAGCACAGGGGAGCUUGCUCCCUGGGUGACGAGCGGCGGACGGGUGAGUAAUGUCUGGGAAACUGCCUGAUGGAGGGGGAUUUCUACUGGAAACGGUAGCUAAUACCGCAUAACGUCGCAAGACCAAAGAGGGGGACCUUCGGGCCUCUUGCCAUCAGAUGUGCCCAGAUGGGAUUAGCUAGUAGGUGGGGUAAUGGCUCACCUAGGCGACGAUCCCUAGCUGGUCUGAGAGGAUGACCAGCCACACUGGAACUGAGACACGGUCCAGACUCCUACGGGAGGCAGCAGUGGGGAAUAUUGCACAAUGGGCGCAAGUCUGAUGCAGCCAUGCCGCGUGUGUGUUGAAGGCCUUCGGGUUGUAAAGCACUUUCAGCGAGGAGGAAGGUGGUGAGCUUAAUACGUUCAUCAAUUGACGUUACUCGCAGAAGAAGCACCGGCUAACUCCGUGCCAGCAGCCGCGGUAAUACGGAGGGUGCAAGCGUUAAUCGGAACCACUGGGCGUAAAGCGCACGCAGGCGGUUUGUUAAGUCAGAUGUGAAAUCCCCGGGCUCAACCUGGGAACUGCAUUUGAAACUGGCAAGCUAGAGUCUCGUAGAGGGGGGUAGAAUUCCAGGUGUAGCGGUGAAAUGCGUAGAGAUCUGGAGGAAUACCGGUGGCGAAGGCGGCCCCCUGGACGAAGACUGACGCUCAGGUGCGAAAGCGUGGGGAGCAAACAGGAUUAGAUACCCUGGUAGUCCACGCUGUAAACGAUGUCGAUUUGGAGGUUGUGCCCUUGAGGCGUGGCUUCCGGAGCUAACGCGUUAAAUCGACCGCCUGGGGAGUACGGCCGCAAGGUUAAAACUCAAAUGAAUUGACGGGGGCGGGCACAAGCGGUGGAGCAUGUGGUUUAAUUCGAUGCAACGCGAAGAACCUUACCUACUCUUGACAUCCAGAGAACUUUCCAGAGAUGGAUUGGUGCCUUCGGGAACUCUGAGACAGGUGCUGCAUGGCUGUCGUCAGCUCGUGUUGUGAAAUGUUGGGUUAAGUCCCGCAACGAGCGCAACCCUUAUCCUUUGUUGCCAGCGGUUCGGCCGGGAACUCAAAGGAGACUGGGAGUGAUAAACUGGAGGAAGGUGGGGAUGACGUCAAGUCAUCAUGGCCCUUACGAGCAGGGCUACACACGUGCUACAAUGGCGUAUACAAAGAGAAGCGACCUCGCGAGAGCAAGCGGACCUCAUAAAGUACGUCGUAGUCCGGAUUGGAGUCUGCAACUCGACUCCAUGAAGUCGGAAUCGCUAGUAAUCGUAGAUCAGAAUGCUACCCUGAAUACGUUCCCGGGCCUUGUACACACCGCCCGUCACACCAUGGGAGUGGGUUGCAAAAGAAGUAGGUAGCUUAACCUUCGGGAGGGCGCUUACCACUUUGUGAUUCAUGACUGGGGUGAAGUCGUAACAAGGUAACCGUAGGGGAACCUGCGGCUGGAUCACCUCCUU
rnacentral:rRNA from 1 species